UGAGUUCAAGUGUGGAAUGUGAGUUUCCC
rnacentral:piRNA from 1 species